rnacentral:rRNA from 1 species
ACGCUAGCUACAGGCUUAACACAUGCAAGUCGUGGGGCAGCGGAUGCUUAGCUUGCUAAGUAUGCCGGCGACCGGCGCACGGGUGAGUAACGCGUACCGAACCUGCCCAUCACACAGGGAUAGGCUUGCGAAAGCAAGAUUAAUACCUGAUGGUCUCAGUUGUAUGCAUGUAUGAUUGAGUAAAGCCUUCGGGCGGUGAUGGAUGGCGGUGCGUCCCAUUAGGAAGUUGGCGGGGUAACGGCCCACCAAUCCUUCGAUGGGUAGGGGUUCUGAGAGGAAGGUCCCCCACAUUGGAACUGAGAUACGGUCCAAACUCCUACGGGAGGCAGCAGUGAGGAAUAUUGGUCAAUGGGCGAGAGCCUGAGCCAGCCAAGUAGCGUGCGGGAUGAAGGCCCUUGUGGUCGUAAACCGCUUUUAUCAGUGAAUAAAGUGCAUCACGUGUGGUGUCAUUGCAGGUAGCUGAAGAAAAAGGACCGGCUAAUUCCGUGCCAGCAGCCGCGGUAAUACGGAAGGUCCGGGCGUUAUCCGGAAUUAUUGGGUUUAAAGGGAGCGCAGGCGGGAGUAUAAGUCAGCUGUUAAAUAUCAGAGCCCAACUCUGUUAUGCAGUUGAAACUAUAUUUCUUGAGUACGCACAGGGAUGGCGGAAUUCAGGGUGUAGCGGUGAAAUGCUUAGAUAUCCUGAAGAACUCCGAUCGCGAAGGCAGCCAUCCGGAGCGUAACUGACGCUGAGGCUCGAAGGUGCGGGUAUCGAACAGGAUUAGAUACCCUGGUAGUCCGCACGGUAAACGAUGAAUACUCGCAGUUCGGUCAUUAUGAUUGAGUUGUCCAGCGAAAGCGUUAAGUAUUCCACCUGGGGAGUACGCCGGCAACGGUGAAACUCAAAGGAAUAGACGGGGGCCCGC